AUUGAACGCUGGCGGCAUGCCUUACACAUGCAAGUCGAACGGCAGCACGGGAGCAAUCCUGGUGGCGAGUGGCGAACGGGUGAGUAAUGUAUCGGAACGUGCCCAGUCGUGGGGGAUAACGUAGCGAAAGCUACGCUAAUACCGCAUACGAUCUAUGGAUGAAAGCGGGGGAUCGCAAGACCUCGCGCGAUUGGCACGGCCGAUAUCAGAUUAGGUAGUAGGUGGGGUAAAGGCUCACCAAGCCGACGAUCUGUAGCUGGUCUGAGAGGACGACCAGCCACACUGGGACUGAGACACGGCCCAGACUCCUACGGGAGGCAGCAGUGGGGAAUUUUGGACAAUGGGCGAAAGCCUGAUCCAGCAAUGCCGCGUGCAGGAUGAAGGCCUUCGGGUUGUAAACUGCUUUUGUACGGAACGAAACGGCGAACUCUAAUACAGUUUGCUAAUGACGGUACCGUAAGAAUAAGCACCGGCUAACUACGUGCCAGCAGCCGCCGUAA
rnacentral:rRNA from 1 species